UACGUAGGUGGCAAGCGUUGUCCGGAUUUAUUGGGUUUAAAGGGUGCGUAGGCGGUCUUUUAAGUCAGUGCCGAAAUAUCCCGGCUUAACCGGGAGGGUGGCAUUGAUACUGAAGGACUUGAGUAAAGUUGAGGUAGGCGGAAUUGACGGUGUAGCGGUGAAAUGCUUAGAUAUCGUCAAGAACACCGAUAGUGUAGACAGCUUACUAAGCUUUAACUGACGCUGAGGCACGAAAGUGUGGGGAUCAAACAGG
rnacentral:rRNA from 1 species